rnacentral:tRNA from 1 species
AUUAUCUUAGCAUAUUAGUGCAUUAAAUUUAGAAUUUAAAUAUUAUAUAAAUGUUAUAUAAGAUAAUA